AGACCUAGCAAUAGGUAUGCUUAGGGAAGAGCUUGCGUCACAUUAGUUAGUUGGUGGGGUAAUGGCCUACCAAGACGAUGAUGUGUAGCCGGGCUGAGAGGUCGAACGGCCACAUUGGGACUGAGACACGGCCCAAACUCCUACGGGAGGCAGCAGUAAGGAAUUUUCGGCAAUGGAGGAAACUCUGACCGAGCAAUGCCGCGUGAACGAUGAAGUAUUUCGGUACGUAAAGUUCUUUUAUUAGGGAAGAAAAGAUGGUGGAAAAACCAUUAUGACGGUACCUAAUGAAUAAGCCCCGGCUAACUAUGUGCCAGCAGCCGCGGUAAUACAUAGGGGGCAAGCGUUAUCCGGAAUUAUUGGGCGUAAAGGGUGCGUAGGCGGUUAAAUAAGUUUAUGGUCUAAGUGCAACGCUCAACGUUGUGAUGCUAUAAAAACUGUUUAGCUAGAGUUGGAUAGAGGCAAGUGGAAUUCCGUGUGUAGUGGUAAAAUGCGUAAAUAUACGGAGGAACACCAGAAGCGAAGGCGGCUUGCUGGGUCUUAACUGACGCUGAGGCACGAAAGCGUGGGGAGCAAACAGGAUUAGAUACCCUGGUAGUCCACGCCCUAAACGAUGAGUACUAAACGUUGGAUAAAACCAGUGUUGAAGUUAACACAUUAAGUACUCCGCCUGAGUAGUACGUACGCAAGUAUGAAACUUAAAGGAAUUGACGGGACUCCGCACAAGCGGUGGAUCAUGUUGUUUAAUUCGAAGGUACCCGAAAAACCUCACCAGGUCUUGACAUGCUUUUGCAAAGCUGUAGAAAUACAGUGGAGGUUAUCAGAAGCACAGGUGGUGCAUGGUUGUCGUCAGCUCGUGUCGUGAGAUGUUGGGUUAAGUCCCGCAACGAGCGCAACCCUUGUUGUUAAUUGUCAUCAUUAAGUUGGGGACUUUAGCAAGACUGCCAAUGAUAAAUUGGAGGAAGGUGGGGACGACGUCAAAUCAUCAUGCCCCUUAUGACCUGGGCUACAAACGUGAUACAAUGGCUGUUACAAAGGGUAGCUAAAGCGUAAGCUUCUGGCGAAUCUCAAAAAAGCAGUCUCAGUUCGGAUUGAAGUCUGCAACUCGACUUCAUGAAGUUGGAAUCGCUAGUAAUCGCGAAUCAGCAUUCGCGUAACUAAGUCCC
rnacentral:rRNA from 1 species